rnacentral:lncRNA from 1 species
ACUACAAAACUAGUUAGAUCUAAAUUUACAUAUCACAUAUACAAUUUAAGAUCUAACUAAUACAUGCUUUGCAUACAUCUCAUGUAUCAAAAAUUGAUCUAAUUAACAUGCUUUCAGAUUUAAUACAUCACAUGUAACAUCUGAAAAAUAAAAUUUAAAUUAAACUAGUCAACAUAAAAUUUAUUCUAGACAGUUACUAG